rnacentral:rRNA from 1 species
AUUGAACGCUGGCGGCAUGCUUUACACAUGCAAGUCGAGCGGCAGCGCGGGGGCAACUCUGGCGGCGAGCGGCGAACGGGUGAGGAAUGCAUCGGAACGUGCCCGGGAGUGGGGGAUAACGCCGCGAAAGCGGCGCUAAUACCGCAUAUUCUCUGUGGAGGAAAGUGGGGGACCGCAAGGCCUCACGGCUUUCGGAGCGGCCGAUGUCGGAUUAGCUUGUUGGUGGGGUAAAGGCUUACCAAGGCGACGAUCCGUAGCUGGUCUGAGAGGAUGAUCAGCCACACUGGGACUGAGACACGGCCCAGACUCCUACGGGAGGCAGCAGUGGGGAAUUUUGGACAAUGGGGGCAACCCUGAUCCAGCCAUGCCGCGUGC